rnacentral:rRNA from 1 species
GAUGAACGCUGGCGGCGUGCCUAAUACAUGCAAGUCGAGCGAACAGACGAGGAGCUUGCUCCUCUGACGUUAGCGGCGGACGGGUGAGUAACACGUGGAUAACCUACCUAUAAGACUGGGAUAACUUCGGGAAACCGGAGCUAAUACCGGAUAAUAUAUUGAACCGCAUGGUUCAAUAGUGAAAGACGGUUUUGCUGUCACUUAUAGAUGGAUCCGCGCCGCAUUAGCUAGUUGGUAAGGUAACGGCUUACCAAGGCAACGAUGCGUAGCCGACCUGAGAGGGUGAUCGGCCACACUGGAACUGAGACACGGUCCAGACUCCUACGGGAGGCAGCAGUAGGGAAUCUUCCGCAAUGGGCGAAGGCCUGACGGAGCAACGCCGCGUGAGUGAUGAAGGUCUUCGGAUCGUAAAACUCUGUUAUUAGGGAAGAACAAAUGUGUAAGUAACUAUGCACGUCUUGACGGUACCUAAUCAGAAAGCCACGGCUAACUACGU